rnacentral:miRNA from 10 species
GGGGAGUUUGCGCGACAGUGUG